UACGAAGGGUGCAAACGUUGCUCGGAAUUAUUGGGCGUAAAGCGCACGUAGGCGGCUUAGCAAGUCGGAAGUGAAAUCCCUCGGCUCAACCAAGGAAGUGCUUUCGAAACUGCUGAGCUUGAGUACUUAAGAGGAUCGCGGAAUUCCCGGUGUAGAGGUGAAAUUCGUAGAUAUCGGGAGGAACACCAGUGGCGAAGGCGGCGAUCUGGGAAGAUACUGACGCUGAGGUGCGAAAGCGUGGGGGAGCAACAGGAUAGAUACCCAGACGUC
rnacentral:rRNA from 1 species